AUGUUAUCUCCCCAUUCAGAAACAGUGCCUACGUUCAUACACUUUAAAGUAAGAAUAUUGGAAGAGAAAAAAAUAAGACACUCAAGGCCAGACCUUUGGACCCCAGUAAUGUGUAACAGCUGCAGAUGCUGGUCAGGCGUCUUGGUGAUAUUUUCAGUCUGCUAAUGCCAGCUCACCCUUUCACAGAUUGAAAACAACUCAUCUCUUUCAAGUACCCUUUUCAAUUGCACCUCGAAAAUUCCUUAACGGCAGCGCCCAGACAUUUUUCUGAACCC
rnacentral:lncRNA from 1 species